CACGAGGUGGGCUGAGUGGUUACGGCGAUGGACUGCUAAUCCAUUGUGCUCUGCACACAUGGGUUCCAAUCCCAUCCUCAUUG
rnacentral:tRNA from 1 species